UGACUGGGAAAGUCCUACAAAGAUAAACAUUUCCUACUGUGCAAUAAGGCUUGCUAUAAAUGUUGUCUUGUGUUUGGAUCGUAUAGAUAGAACUGGUUUCAUUCACACCACAACACUGUACGAUAGACGACAGCAAAAUGGGCAAGCUAUUGAUUUGUACAGCAAUAGUUUUUCUCGCCAUCAGCCUGAGCAUGGCGGCCCCUGCGGUCACAGAUCCAUGUCGCGGUGAGGCACUGAACGCCACGAUGGUCAGGUGCAUGACAGAGAACGGUUUCACUAUGGCGCAGAUCAGCAAAUUAAUUCCGUCUAAGCAGUGGCGCCAUCAGCUUCAGUGGAGCGGACUUCAGUGCUUUCUGUAACAAUAGAGAAGGCUACUACAAGGCUUCAAGCUGCAUUGUAGAUGAGAUGACCCGGUGUCAAUUAACAAAUGUUUUGAUCCAUCUCAAUAUAAACAACACUGCUAAGGCGAUGAAUAUGAUCUGCGAUGACCCCAGCUUCAAAACAGAUUGUAUGACGCUGCUGACCAAGGACCCGCUAGUGUUACAGUCCUGCUUGACCACUAAGUAUGACUUCGCUAAGGAGAUGGAGACGAAAUCCAUUCAACAAGUGACCUGUGAGAGUGCCAAGAUAGCUGUCCAGUGUUCCGUGGACAUCCUGAAGACCUGCGACCAGCAUACGGCCACUGUCUUUGGUUCCGCUCAAGAUCUGGUAGUGCCGUCAGUUUGCUGAUAAAAUGAUUAUGCUAUUAUAAUCAAAUUAUAUUUCAUUUUUUAAAACCAAA